GGAGCCCAGCAGCAGCAGCAGCAGSAGSAGCAGCAGCAGCAGCAGCAGCAGCAGGGCGCCGGUCCAAGACUUGUCUCAGCCAUGCGGAUUACCACCCCCCCUACCUCCUCUUCUUCAGCGGACCAUCCCUGCGGGUCUGCCUUCAGUGCCUUGGCCACGCGGGGGGCUCAGCAUGGUCCCGGCCUUUGCACCUGCUUCUGACAGCCUUCUUCUCCUGCUUCCUCCCGUACCUUCUUCUCCUGCUUUCUCACAACAAGCCUGCUGCACGCUUUCAUGCAGUGGGCACCUUUAUGGACCAUCCCCACGAGUUCUUUCAUGACUUGGCCACGCGGGGGGCUGUGCACUCUGCGCAGUCCCGGCCUUGGGCUCAUGUGGGCCACCCUCUGGACGGUUAGUGUUUCCUGGCUGGUGUGGCUCUCUCAGUUCCUUGGGGUCUUUGCGGGCAUGUGGGGUUCAGUCUAGCCGUUGGUAGCCGCCCACAGCGAGGAUUUUCGGCCGUGUUAGGCUCCUGCAUUGUGAUGCUCUGGCUUGCCAUAGGACAAGAGACUCAUGCUUUUCGGGUAGCCAUACUGUCCAGGGGCUUUUGUCUGCCUUCCAACAAACCAACUCACCAUUAAGGUCAGACUAUUAUGAGCUGCAGACUACUUGCAGUUUGUACUUUCAGCUUUUGCUCCUUGCGAGCUUGAGCCAAUUUCUUAGGCUGGGUUUUUUCAGGGGAACCUUUUGUUCUGCUUGCUGCUUCCUUGCUCUUGGCUUUCCUAUAUCUGCUAUGCCCUGACUCCUUUGAACUGGCUCAGCCACCCUUU
rnacentral:lncRNA from 1 species